GAGGAUUUAGCUCAGUGGCAUAAGCGCCUGCCUUGCAAGCAGGCAGUGGUGAGUUCAAUCCCUG
rnacentral:tRNA from 1 species